UAGAGUUUGAUCCUGGCUCAGAUUGAACGCUGGCGGCAGGCCUAACACAUGCAAGUCGAACGGUAGCACAGAGAGCUUGCUCUCGGGUGACGAGUGGCGGACGGGUGAGUAAUGUCUGGGAAACUGCCUGAUGGAGGGGGAUAACUACUGGAAACGGUAGCUAAUACCGCAUAACGUCGCAAGACCAAAGAGGGGGACCUUCGGGCCUCUUGCCAUCAGAUGUGCCCAGAUGGGAUUAGCUAGUAGGUGGGGUAACGGCUCACCUAGGCGACGAUCCCUAGCUGGUCUGAGAGGAUGACCAGCCACACUGGAACUGAGACACGGUCCAGACUCCUACGGGAGGCAGCAGUGGGGAAUAUUGCACAAUGGGCGCAAGCCUGAUGCAGCCAUGCCGCGUGUAUGAAGAAGGCCUUCGGGUUGUAAAGUACUUUCAGCGGGGAGGAAGGUGUUGUGGCUAAUAACCGCAGCAAUUGACGUUACCCGCAGAAGAAGCACCGGCUAACUCCGUGCCAGCAGCCGCGGUAAUACGGAGGGUGCAAGCGUUAAUCGGAAUUACUGGGCGUAAAGCGCACGCAGGCGGUCUGUCAAGUCGGAUGUGAAAUCCCCGGGCUCAACCUGGGAACUGCAUUCGAAACUGGCAGGCUAGAGUCUUGUAGAGGGGGGUAGAAUUCCAGGUGUAGCGGUGAAAUGCGUAGAGAUCUGGAGGAAUACCGGUGGCGAAGGCGGCCCCCUGGACAAAGACUGACGCUCAGGUGCGAAAGCGUGGGGAGCAAACAGGAUUAGAUACCCUGGUAGUCCACGCCGUAAACGAUGUCGACUUGGAGGUUGUGCCCUUGAGGCGUGGCUUCCGGAGCUAACGCGUUAAGUCGACCGCCUGGGGAGUACGGCCGCAAGGUUAAAACUCAAAUGAAUUGACGGGGGCCCGCACAAGCGGUGGAGCAUGUGGUUUAAUUCGAUGCAACGCGAAGAACCUUACCUACUCUUGACAUCCAGAGAACUUUCCAGAGAUGGAUUGGUGCCUUCGGGAACUCUGAGACAGGUGCUGCAUGGCUGUCGUCAGCUCGUGUUGUGAAAUGUUGGGUUAAGUCCCGCAACGAGCGCAACCCUUAUCCUUUGUUGCCAGCGGUCCGGCCGGGAACUCAAAGGAGACUGCCAGUGAUAAACUGGAGGAAGGUGGGGAUGACGUCAAGUCAUCAUGGCCCUUACGAGUAGGGCUACACACGUGCUACAAUGGCGCAUACAAAGAGAAGCAAACUCGCGAGAGCAAGCGGACCUCAUAAAGUGCGUCGUAGUCCGGAUUGGAGUCUGCAACUCGACUCCAUGAAGUCGGAAUCGCUAGUAAUCGUAGAUCAGAAUGCUACGGUGAAUACGUUCCCGGGCCUUGUACACACCGCCCGUCACACCAUGGGAGUGGGUUGCAAAAGAAGUAGGUAGCUUAACCUUCGGGAGGGCGCUUACCACUUUGUGAUUCAUGACUGGGGUGAAGUCGUAACAAGGUAACCUCAGUCAGUCA
rnacentral:rRNA from 1 species